AGAGUUUGAUCCUGGCUCAGAACGAACGCUGGCGGCGUGCCUAACACAUGCAAGUCGAACGUGAUUAGAGAGCUUGCUCUCUAUGAAAGUGGCGCACGGGUGAGUAACGCGUAGAUAAUCUACCUGAUGGAUCGGGAUAACACUUCGAAAGGGGUGCUAAUACCGGAUAAGCCCACGGAGUCCUUGGACACUGCGGGAAAAGGGGGGGACCUUCGGGCCUUCCGUCAUCAGAUGAGUCUGCGUACCAUUAGCUAGUUGGUAGGGUAAAGGCCUACCAAGGCGACGAUGGUUAGCUGGUCUGAGAGGAUGAUCAGCCACACUGGAACUGAGACACGGUCCAGACUCCUACGGGAGGCAGCAGUGGGGAAUUUUGCGCAAUGGGGGAAACCCUGACGCAGCAACGCCGCGUGAGUGAUGAAGGCCCUUGGGUCGUAAAGCUCUGACAGAGGGAAAGAAAUGUGGAGUGGCUAAUAACCGCACCACUUGACGGUACCCUCAAAGGAAGCACCGGCUAACUCCGUGCCAGCAGCCGCGGUAAUACGGGGGGUGCAAGCGUUGUUCGGAUUUAUUGGGCGUAAAGCGCGUGUAGGCGGUUUUUUAAGUCUGAUGUGAAAGCCCUGGGCUCAACCUGGGAAGUGCAUUGGAUACUGGAAGACUUGAAUACGGGAGAGGGCAGUGGAAUUCCUGGUGUAGGAGUGAAAUCCGUAGAUAUCAGGAGGAACACCGGUGGCGAAAGCGGCUGCCUGGACCGAUAUUGACGCUGAGACGCGAAAGCGUGGGUAGCAAACAGGAUUAGAUACCCUGGUAGUCCACGCCGUAAACGAUGAGUACUAGGUGUUGCGGGUAUUGACCCCUGCAGUGCCGCAGCUAACGCAUUAAGUACUCCGCCUGGGAAGUACGGUCGCAAGACUAAAACUCAAAUGAAUUGACGG
rnacentral:rRNA from 1 species